rnacentral:lncRNA from 1 species
AAUAAAACCCAACGAUGUCCCCGCUGGAGGUUCGGGUUGCCAGGUAAAGCCCGUUAAAAACAAAUAAAAAGCAUAAUAAAAAAACACAAGAGAAGUAUCAAACCUAGAAAACACAAAAUCAUUAAUUUUCCAACACAUUCAAUCCAUCAUCAAACCCAUUAAAAAACACAAAAUCAUCAAACACAUUCAAUCCAUCUUCCUUAAAACCACACAACCAAAGAAAGACAUCAUUAUCUUGAAAUUGAAAUACAAAAUAUAAUUAAAUAAAGUGCAACAGCAGCAACUUUGUCCAACCAUCAACAUGAGCACCUGCAACAACAAUUCCAGAUUUCCAGCAAUUCCAUAAACACAAUACAACAUGAAUGAGUUCAGCAUCACAGAAAUUAAAAAAGCUUCUAGAUUAGCGAGUUUAGAGAUCUGAAAUCAGAGAAUCAGAGAAGUUCAUAAGUCAGAACUACUUACCCAAAGACAGAUCAGAUGGAGACUGAGAAUUGAACCGUCAUGCAAAUCUAGUACCAACCAAAUCGCAUAUGAACUUCUUGGAAUUAGGGUUGCGAGUUUCAAUUUGAUUGGAUAUUUGGGUCAGGGAUUGAAAAGAUGGAAUUAAAGAAUGGAAUCGGCAACGAUUUGGCAGCUAUAACAAAAAAAUUGAAGGGGAAAUAUAUAGAACUUGGAAUCGUCACUCGUCAUAUUGGAAAUUGGAAUUUAAGAAGAGGAUUAAUG